GCCGUAGAAGUACGCAGGAUCCACCACCGGGCCAUUCAUAGCUUCCGCGCCACUAAGUAAGGUGGAAAAAUCUGGGUUUGUUCAAAUUACAGGGGAGACUGCCGAAUUUUCGGCAGAAGUCUAAGGGAAAUUUUAAAAGAAUUUUGAACGAGAAGGGUAAGAAGGUCUUUUGUGCCCGACAUUCGCCAGGUGUCGGACACGCACAGGACUUGGCUUUUAUUUCAAAACGAAAAUUGGGUCGGGUCCUGUCAUGUACUGCUUGUCAAGAAGAGGAGUCGUGCACACCAAGGUAAGUCACGCCUGGGUUUUUAUUUUUCUUCAAUUUUUUCUUACGACGAGGAUCACAAGUGUGGUUGUUGGUUGGUUGUCAUUGUGAUCUUGUGGUAGCGCUGGGUGCAACUAGUGGAAGAGACGUCGCCAGCCGCUGACAUUUGUUGGCAGCGUCGUCGUCUUUUUUUUUCUUUUUUUUUCUUCUUCUGCUCAAUGCGAGGUGGCAAGCUUGCUCAGGAAGGCCAAUUGCAAGACAAGCCAUGGCUAGUUGCGCCGAGGUCGCGAGAUGAGGCUGUUGCUGCAGCGGUUGCUGACUUCUGCUGGUGAUGGCAACAGUCGCCAUUAUAUAUUUAUAUAUUUUUGCUGGAGCUAUGUCACGGCCUGCCGAGGUGCUACAACUCAGCUCGGGCCAAGGGGAUGCGUUGGUUGCUUGGGCUGCGUGGCUUCCCCUUUUGUUGGUUUUUUUUUUUCGUCGCAAGUUAAGGUUCCUCCUUUGUAGCAUGACUUGUGAUUUUUGACUUGCACUUUUUCUUCUCUGUUUAUAGCUCUAAGGCAAUUGUGUUGUUUGAUGAGGGGAGCCGAUCAACGAGUUAACAAGUGCCUUUGUACUUGUAGGGUGGUUCCAAAGUGUACAAGAAAAGAUUCAUGUCUAAUAUGCAUCGUGUCUUGAUCGAGGCUCACUUCCAGAAGUAGGGUGGCACAUAUGCUGCUGUCAUACCUUAUGACGUGCAUGUCAAGCUGGUGGCACUUUUGACUGACGAUGUGCCUAGCGUGGAUCCGAACGAUCCAAAUGCCAAAAUUAUCACAUUUCGUCCCUUCCACUUCUACUUGGGCUUCACAUUCCUGUUGUCGAAGUUCUUCAAGAAGUUGUUAUGUGCCAUGGAGUGUGCUCCAAGCUAAUGUACUCCAAAUGUGUACCGGGCGAUCAUUGGUUUUGAUAAUAUGAACUGUUUCUUCAAGUUGGAUUUGACGGUGCAGAGUUCUUUUACUUCUUCGAGGUGAGGCGUUAAGAGAAGUAUGCCCAGGUUCGUGUAUGCAAUGCCAAGCUGUUUGAUAUUCUCAGCAAAGGAGAUCGCGUAUGGCAUGUCGAUGUGUUGGAGGUCAACGGAAGGUGUGAAGAAUGAUAUCAACAAGAAAUUGGAUUUGGAGCCGGACAUGGCUAAAGUCUGACGAGCCCUGAACAUCCACACGACGUUUCGCGAAUGGCGCUAUCUGUUGAACGAGUAUCGAAAGAAGGCUAGUGGUCUACCCCUGCUAAGGAUGUUGAGGGAUAAAAGUAGUAUAGCCCAGACUCAAUGAUCAACCUUCCGAAUGGGAGAAGUCCUUGAUCGAACUCACUAGAAAGAGGAAGGCUAACGCUAGGUCCUCCAAAGAUGAAGCUGCAACUUCAUGAGCAAGGAAUGUGUCUUCGUUGAGAAAGAAUUUAAGUCUUAUUCGAAAAGUCUCAUCUGUUAAGAAAACUAAAGUAGGAGUUGCUCCUUCGCCGUCUGCCAUGGUCAAGCACCUCGUUGGCGUGGAUAGUAAGAUUGGCAACGUGCGGUAUGUUCGGGACAUUCUGCUCAAGUCUCCAACUGACAAGCUCAAAACCUACAAUCUGCCCUACAAAGAAGUCUGUUCCCGAACCUGUUCGCCUAUCGAGAAACAAUGGGUUGCUGACAUUCCUCACCAAAGUUCGAGUUGUCUACACCAAUCAAGGGAUGAGGAUCAAACUGGGAGGACUGCUCCUUUAUCAUCAUGAUCCUUCUACCAAGCCACGAGUAGUCAAUCACAGAGCUGAUUCAUUGUCGUUGACUCCUUUUGGAGGCGAGGAUGGCUAUAGCUAGGCAUGGCAAUCAGUCAUGUAUUGUCGAGUUCGUGUCGCGUCAGGAUAAUAAAUGUGUUAAGAAUGCUCAACCCAAACCCAACCCAUUUAAUAAACGUGUCGUGUCGGGUUCAGGUUGUCUUAAACAGGUUCUUAAACAGGUUACCUGGUUAAUAACCUGUUUACUCAUUCUUAGUUUCCAAUGGAUUCGUACACUUGCAAGUA